CCACCCUUUAAUGUUUGAUGUUCUAACGUGGACCCGUUACCCGGGUUGCGGACAGUGUCUGGUGGGUAGUUUGACUGGGGCGGUCUCCUCCUAAAGAGUAACGGAGGAGCACGAAGGUUGGCUAAUCCUGGUCGGACAUCAGGAGGUUAGUGCAAUGGCAUAAGCCAGCUUGACUGCGAGCGUGACGGCGCGAGCAGGUGCGAAAGCAGGUCAUAGUGAUCCGGUGGUUCUGAAUGGAAGGGCCAUCGCUCAACGGAUAAAAGGUACUCCGGGGAUAACAGGCUGAUACCGCCCAAGAGUUCAUAUCGACGGCGGUGUUUGGCACCUCGAUGUCGGCUCAUCACAUCCUGGGGCUGAAGUAGGUCCCAAGGGUAUGGCUGUUCGCCAUUUAAAGUGGUACGCGAGCUGGGUUUAGAACGUCGUGAGACAGUUCGGUCCCUAUCUGCCGUGGGCGCUGGAGAACUGAGGGGGGCUGCUCCUAGUACGAGAGGACCGGAGUGGACGCAUCACUGGUGUUCGGGUUGUCAUGCCAAUGGCACUGCCCGGUAGCUAAAUGCGGAAGAGA
rnacentral:rRNA from 1 species